GGCCAUGCGGCGGCUAUAAUGCAGUCGACGGAGAUGUAGCAAUACGUCUUAGUGGCGAACGGGUGAGUAACGCGUUGGUGACCUACCCCGAAGUGCGGGAUAACAGUCCGAAAGGGCUGCUAAUACCGCAUGUGGUUAUCGGUUUUGGAAUCUGAUAACUAAAGGAGCAAUUCGCUUCGGGAGGGACCUGCGUCCCAUCAGCUAGUUGGUGAGGUAGUGGCUCACCAAGGCGACGACGGGUAAGGGGCCUGAGAGGGUGGCCCCUCACAAUGGAACUGAAACACGGUCCAUACACCUACGGGUGGCAGCAGUAGGGAAUAUUGGUCAAUGGGCGAAAGCCUGAACCAGCAACGCCGCGUGUACGAUGAAGGUCUUCGGAUCGUAAAGUACUUUUCUGGGAGAUGAGAAAGGACAGUAUCCCAGGAAUAAGCCUCGGCUAACUACGUGCCAGCAGCCGCGGUAAAACGUAGGAGGCAAGCGUUAUCCGGAUUUACUGGGCGUAAAGCGCGUGCAGGCGGUUCGGCAAGUUGGAUGUGAAAGCUCCUGGCUCAACUAGGAGAGGUCGUUCAAUACUACCGAACUUGAGGGCAACAGAGGAAGGUGGAAUUCCCGGUGUAGUGGUGAAAUGCGUAGAUAUCGGGAGGAACACCAGUGGCGAAAGCGACCUUCUGGGUUGUUCCUGACGCUCAGACGCGAAAGCUAGGGUAGCAAACGGGAUUAGAGACCCCGGUAGUCCUAGCAGUAAACGAUGUAGACUUGGCGUCGGUGGUGUCAAAACCAUCGGUGUCGAAGCUAACGCGAUAAGUCUACCGCCUGGGGACUACGGCCGCAAGGUUAAAACUCAAAGGAAUUGACGG
rnacentral:rRNA from 1 species